GUGGUUUCAAUUUGAUGCAAUUUAAGCACAAUUCUCAAUUUUUGAUACUUAUUGAGGGCCAUUUCAGUCCAAACUUGCAGCCCCUCCCCAACCACCUCUACCGCCGCUAGCCCUCCAAAAACUCCUCCAUGUUGUAAACAUUGACAAUCCCACUGUCUAAACCAGUAACAAACAAUGCUUCUUCGAGAUGUAUAAAGAGAGGUACCAUUAUACAACCUUCAUUAAUAUUUUUUAUAGAGAUUAUGUUGAAUUACAUAAUAAGAAACU
rnacentral:lncRNA from 1 species